rnacentral:rRNA from 1 species
GAUGAACGCUGGCGGCGUGCCUAAUACAUGCCAGUCGAGCGAACAGAUAAGGAGCUUGCUCCUUUGACGUUAGCGGCGGACGGGUGAGUAACACGUGGGUAACCUACCUAUAAGACUGGGAUAACUUCGGGAAACCGGAGCUAAUACCGGAUAACAUUUGGAACCGCAUGGUUCUAAAGUGAAAGAUGGUUUUGCUAUCACUUAUAGAUGGACCCGCGCCGUAUUAGCUAGUUGGUAAGGUAACGGCUUACCAAGGCGACGAUACGUAGCCGACCUGAGAGGGUGAUCGGCCACACUGGAACUGGGACACGGUCCAGACUCCUACGGGAGGCAGCAGUAGGGAAUCUUCCGCAAUGGGCGAAAGCCUGACGGAGCAACGCCGCGUGAGUGAUGAAGGGUUUCGGCUCGUAAAACUCUGUUAUUAGGGAAGAACAAAUGUGUAAGUAACUGUGCACGUCUUGACGGUACCUAAUCAGAAAGCCACGGCUAACUACGUG